CCUCCCUGUCCUGCUUCACCUGAGACACCCCUUGUCUCAUUAGACAUGCAACUACGGGAGGGGUGACAGGAAGACAAGACACUAUUUCCUCAGGCCCAGUUUGGUGUGGGGAGAAAGCCUCCUGAUCCUGAAAGCAAGAAUUUGACCAGAGCAGAAGUAAUCAGUAUGCAGAUUGACUCUGUGAAGCAGGCUGCCAUGUUGCAAGCUGCCUCAUGGAGGGGAUCAGCUGCGAGGAACUAAGAGCCCCCUCCAGUCGAUGCUCACCAGGAAGCUGAGGUCUUGUGUCCAGCACCCUGCAUGGAACUGAAUGCUGCCAUGUGAGCUUGGAAGCAGAGCCAUCCACACAGCUGAGCCCCAGAUGAGAACCCAGUGCUGGCUGACACCCUGAUGGCACCUUACAGAGGACCAGUUAGGCUGUGCCAACUCCUGACCUGCAGAAGCUGGGGAACAUUGGGUCGUAUUUGCAGCUGCUGGAUUUGUGGGAAUUUGUCACACAGCA
rnacentral:lncRNA from 1 species